GGUGGGGACAUUGACAGGAUCUCAGCCCCUUUGUUCUGAGAUUUCGUGUCCCUGUGAGCAGUCUCGAAGCAUCCCCAGGCCCAGGUGGGCUGAGGAUGCAGAAGUGGGGAUCCUGAGUCCCCACCACGCGGCAGCACCCAGUGGCUUAUGGGAAAGGAAACAUCAGACAGAAUUGUGAUGGAACUCUGUCACCAUCUAGAUGAGUACUCUAGUAUUUAUGCUUGCCUCUGUUGGGGAAGUCUCAGUCUUAGGAUCUGUUACAGGUUGGUCC
rnacentral:lncRNA from 1 species